AGUUUAGUUUCCUCUAGUUAAAUGAGUAACUUGGGCUACCCUAGUGCCCAGUGCUUAACUCCCAGCAAGAGUCCUCCAUGUCCCCUGAAGCAGGAAGUGAGGGACCCUUCCCUAAGACAAGCCUGUAGGUUCCACCUAUGAAGUUCUCUACAGGUGACAGCAGAAAUGGGCAGUGGGCAUCUCUUACCAUGUUGGGAAGAAGGGAUUGAACCAGCAACAUCUUGGGACACUGGUGCAUGACACUGCUGUGAAUGCCCUUCAUGACAAGUGAAGAAGAGCACUGAGAAGCCAAGAAAGGCUACAAACAAAAGCAGGGAUUGUUCAAGAAAUGGACCCUUUUCAGAAGUCUUCAAAGCCAUCCUUUCACAAAGUCUGGCAGGGAUACAGUAUCGAGCCUGGUUCCUCCCCAGUAAGCAGUUAGACGGAGUCAGAAUGAAGUUCAUUGACCCAAGCAAGAUUCUUGUUGAAUGGCAGAAAAGUCUUCCAGAAUCACAGAAUCACAGAAUCACAGGGCGGCUCAUUACCUCGACCUUCCCACCAUCUUCAGCAGCAGAUGACCACCUUCAGCUUCUGCUGUGUCGAGAAAGGAAGUGCCAGAGCAGCAGUUCAGACUGGAAUCAAAGAAGACCAGCGUCAGAAUUUGUUAAAAUUCACCUUCUUGGGCCUUGCUCCAGAGCUGCCAAAGCAGUGAUGUGUUUCAACAAGGCUUCUGGGUGGUUCUAAUGAGCACUGAAGUUCUCUGUCGCUGUGUCUCGAUCUUAGCUCAGCCUGGACGUUGGAAUGGAUGAGUCUUUGUAGUGGGGUGGCUCUGCAAACUGUGUGAUGUCCAACAGCAUCUUUGACUUGCAUCCCUAGAUGCCAGUAGCUUUCCUUCCAUACCCCAAUGUGAUAACCAAAAAUGUCUCCAGUCAUCACCAAAUGUCUCAGAUUAAAGGAGAAGUCACUCCUUGGUGAAUUAAUGAGCCAAGUACACGCUAUUCCUCCAUGCCCUGGGUUUUUUUCUGAGCCAUAUUGACAAACAACUGCCAGACCCUCCAAGUGACUCCAUAGCCAGUGAUAAUAGAGCCCAGGAAAAUGGACCAGUGAGGCAGCUUCCUACAAAUACAUGGAGCUUCUGAUCUCAAUAAAUCUUUCUUUUGAACCUA